GGGCGAAUAGGCUAUUAUAGAGUUGAGGUAAGGUUUGUCAUCCCAGACUCCCAUCAAUCAAAAAACUAGUCAGUCAUUAUUGUAGCGCGAUCUCAACGACAUUUUUGCAGAUUUUAGUCUCCUACAGAGACCAAAAAUAGGUAUCGGGCGAAGAUAUAUGUAUAUCCAGAUAUCAAAUCAUAUGCCUGAGGUGCUAAGAAACAUGUCAAUCUACGGCAAAUUCAAUUUAAAGUUUCAAAGCUGCUUGGAAAAA
rnacentral:lncRNA from 1 species